rnacentral:tRNA from 1 species
GAGAGGAAGUUCAUCCAGCAAGAACUGCUAAUUCCUGCAUCUGAGUUUAAAGCGUCAGUCACCUUA